CCUACGGGAGGCAGCAGUGGGGGAUAUUGCACAAUGGGGGAAACCCUGAUGCAGCGACGCCGCGUGAGUGAAGAAGUAUUUCGGUAUGUAAAGCUCCAUUAGCAGGGAAGAAAAGGACAGUACCUGACCAAGAAGCCCCGGCUAACUACGUGCCAGCAGCCGCGGCAAUACGUAGGGGGCAAGCGUUAUCCGGAUUUACUGGGUGUAAAGGGAGCGUAGACGGUUAUGUAAGUCUGGAGUGAAAGCCUGGGGCCCAACCCCGGGACUGCUUUGGAAACUGUGUAACUGGAGUACAGGAGGGGCAGGCGGAAUUCCUGGUGUAGCGGUGAAAUGCGUAGAUAUCAGGAGGAACACCGACGGCGAAGGCAGCCUGCUGGACUGAAACUGACGUUGAGGCUCGAAAGCGUGGGGAGCAAACAGGAUUAGAUACCCCAGUAGUC
rnacentral:rRNA from 1 species